GAAACACCCAGCAGUUCUCAGGUGAUGCUCAAGCACUGGAGAAGUAGCAAGAGGACUGUCCCAUGCUGAUCCCAGAGAGCUGCACUGGCUGGCUCCAGCUCACAACCAGCACAGGCCUUGCAAGAUGAACACAGCCCUCAAGUCUGAUUUCUACAACGCCAGAAUGACCCAGAAUUCACAUUAGGAUAUGGACAUGCUUGUGCACUGAUGGAUUUAUUUAUUGGUUUAUGGGAUGUGCAUCCAGCCUCAGCCAUCAGCCUGUGUCCACUUGGGUCAUGGAAGAGCGAGCCAAAAAUCACCAGAAAUAAAAUAAUUUCUGAAUGCUA